UAAGGUUACAGAAGCGUUCGCCAACUUUGAUAGGCAUAGCAUUGCAAGCAAAUAGAGCAGAGAGCUUACCCUUUCUUUCUAUUAGAGUCGUGAGCUUGUUGUAGUCGGUCCUAAAGGGAGAACCUUUCUGCUUACCCCGCGUCCUUGCGCGGCUCGGCUCGUUCUUCGAGCCCUGCUUCCCCCUUCCCCCUCUCCCCGUUUACCGUCCAAAACAGGCCGUAUGGAGUAUAGCCAAGUGGUAAGCUCCCUCGCAUAAUAGAUCCCCAAUUUAAACCCCUCAAUGAGAAACCCCCAACACCCAGACUCAAACUUCAUAAAAUACAGAGACGAAAUGUGUCUAGAUUUGAACCCUAACCCCAUUGCUGUUUCUGCUAACCCCAUUGCUGUUUCUGCUUCUGCUCCUCAACGCUGGUGGCUGGUUCGUUGGCUGUUGCUCCUCAAAAGUGUAAAAGGCUAGCUAAUAAGGGUAUCCUAAGAUGGAUAGAAUCAGCAAGCUUCCUGUAGGCGUAAUAGAAACCAUCUUAUGUCUGCUACCGAUUCAAGAGGCGGCAAGAACAAGCAUCCUCUCUAAGGAAUGGAGGUACCACUGGACCAAAAUCCCUAAACUUGUGUUUAACGAGAAUACAUUUCAAGUAUCGAAUGAUGGGGCUGAGUUGUCCGUUUUGGAGCAGACGUUUGACAAACCAAGUAAAAGGAAAGAAAUGGCCGAGAGGUGUAAACUUUUCUAUGCGAUAUACCAAGUUCUUCUUAUCCACGAGGGUCCAGUACUUGAGUUCAGUCUUUCUAUGCAUAUAGAUGGCUCCUGUGUUGAGAUUGACCAUGUAUUACUUCAUUUAUCGAAGAAAAAGACUCUCAAGAUAUUAACACUUGACUUUUAUGGGAGCUAUCGGUUACCCUUAUCUCUCUUCUCGUUACAUCAAUUAUAUUGUUCUUGACCAUCAACCAUCAUCCUAUGUAUUCGGUAGCCUUACUACCUUAUAUUUGCAAGAUAUACGGACCUGUGAAAAAACA